UCACCAAAACGAGACAAUCGAUAUAAAUGAUGUGCAUUUUCGUUUGUGGCGGUAUGGAUGUACUACUGCUAAAGAUAUCAAUUGCAGUCAUGAGAUACAAUUGAUGAAAGAGAAAUGUAGUACCAAGAAAAACUGUACUGUAAGCGAAAAUGACUUCAAGUCGUGUAGUAAGCAACCUAGACGUGUGUUUGUAAAAGUUACCUGCACUAAGAGAAGAUGGUGGUCUACUAAUCUUCAGUAUACAAAAAGAGUUGAAGUGUGCGGUUCGUUGUCUGCAAUAUAUUGCGGUGAUGAGUAUGCGAUAAGUGGAUUUGAGUUCUGGUGGUAUAAGAUUGAAGCUAUAUGCGAAUUUGAAAGAGAUAUUAGCAACUGCAUGCAGAAAAGUUUAAAUUUGUGUAUUGGACAUACCAGUUGUGGCUACAUCAAUGUUGAUACCGAAUGUUUUUAUUUGACUUGGAGGGCUACAAUAUCUUACAGCUGCAACAGAGAAGGAACUAAUUCAUCUACAACAACAGGGAAAACUACUGGAAAGCAUAGUUAUAUUCCUACAGAAGACGUGUCACCAAGAACAUUUGUUUUUGAUAUAACAAAACCGCCAAAUACAGGUUUGGCUGAAUUAUAAAAAAGGAACAUUUACUGCUCUUCUCUUAAAUUAUGGUUGAAAAUUAAUACAUGUAUAUCAAUUCGCGGAUUUUUUGUACUUAAAUUGACACGUUUCUUGAGUAAAGGCAACAACGAUUUUUGCAAGGUUUUGGCAUGUUAUCUAUUUCCCGCGUGUAAGAGAUAUAAUUUCUCGUAUUACACCAAGCAGAUUGCAAUAUGAAUAAGCGAUACCGCAAAUGCGCAAAUGUUGCCAGUUUGCCUAUCUUGCAAUGCUACAUGUAUAUGAAAUUUUAAUAUUGGUUUUUUUCUAGGUCAAUAAUAACUACCCGAGGAAAUAAUAAUAAACGAUCCCCAUAUUGAAAUUUAAUAUAUUGAGUUGAUAUCAUCUUCACUCCUUAUAAAACCUAUGAAAAUGUACGAUAUGAUAACCGUUUAAAAACAUGUUAAAAAUAUUUUUUGUAAAAGAAGAACACAGAAAAGUAUAUACAGAAUCAUCAGUAAGCAUUUGUUUAACGGAAGACUUUAAAUAAACACCAGUUCUCAUGUUAUUUUUCUCCGGUAGGAAUUUGUGUUCACGCAUCACAUUCCAAACGACAGUUGAACUUUUAGCUGAAAUUAAUAUAAAAUAUCAAAACGACAUUCGAAUAACUAAAGGAAAUAUGUUAGUUUGAUAUUCAUCGUUUGAACAAAUUAAGAAUGGAUGCGAUAUCUUCUUUCUUUGGGAAAUUAUUCGUUCAUUGUUGACUAACACAUUAAUAACAAAUGAGAUCACCAAUCAUUGAACUUUUUUUUCGCUAGCUUAUAUCGAAAUUUGCUGCUGUUCGAAACAAGAAACAAUA